rnacentral:rRNA from 1 species
GACGAACGCUGGCGGCAUGCCUAACACAUGCAAGUCGAACGGUGCCUUCGGGCACAGUGGCGCACGGGUGAGUAACACGUGGGAACCUGCCUUUCGGUUCGGAACAACGUCUGGAAACGGACGCUAACGCCGGAUACGCCCAUCCAGCGAUGGUUGGGGAAAGUUUACGCCGAGAGAGGGGCCCGCGCCGGAUUAGGUAGUUGGUGGGGUAACGGCCUACCAAGCCGACGAUGGAUAGGGGAACUGAGAGGUUUAUCCCCCACACUGGUACUGAGACACGGACCAGACUCCUACGGGAGGCAGCAGUAGGGAAUUUUCGGCAAUGGGGGAAACCCUGACCGAGCAAUGCCGCGUGAACGAUGAAGGUCUUCGGAUUGUAAAGUUCUGUGAUUGGGGAAGAAUGGUAUUCUUAGGGAAUGAGGAGUACAUGACGGUACCCGAUUAGAAAGCCCCGGCUAACUAUGUG